AUUGAACGCUGGCGGCAGGCCUAACACAUGCAAGUCGAGCGGAGCGGGGACGGGUGAGUAACACGUGGGUAACCUCCCAUCAGAGGGGAUAACACUUGGAAACAGGUGCUAAACCGAUCUUGAUGGAUGGACCCGCGGUGCAUUAGCUAGUUGGUGAGGUAACGGCUCAGCAAGGCCACGAUGCAUAGCCGACCGGAGAGGCGGAUCGGCCACAGUGGGACUGAGACACGGCCCAGACUCCUACGGGAGGCAGCAGUAGGGAAUCGUCGGCAAUGGACGAAAGUCUGACCGAGCAACGCCGCGUGAGUGAAGAAGGUUUUCGGAUCGUAAAACUCUGUUGUUAGAGAAGCGGUAUCUAACCAGAAAGUCACGGCUAACUACGUGCCAGCAGCCGCGGUAAUAC
rnacentral:rRNA from 1 species